AAGUCGCUGCUUGAAAGGUUCGAUUCCUUGCCCCUCGUCUUGCUUGAAACCAUCGUGAAGAAUUGCGAGAAGGCUUUCUCUGAAGUCGCUGCUGAGAGGGUUCUUGAUGAUAUGGUUAGGUUAAUUGACGAUCCUCAAACUGUUUUAAUAACCGCAACAAGGCUUUGAUCAUGAUUGAGGCUUGAGGCGAAUCCACCAUCGAGCUUCACUAUCUCCCUGUUUACGAAGAAACUUACAAGUCUGAAAUCAAAGGGUAUUCGGUUCUCUGGCUGUCACAACGAGAGCUUGGCGCCUAUUUUCACUCCUCCGCGUUCGGUGUCUGAGGUUGAACUUGAUCUUCCACGCCAGACUCAGCAUAAUGAUAUUCCUGUGCAGAGUUUUACUCCUAAACAAACUAAGGAAGCUUUUGAUGUUGCUAGAAACAGCAUUGAACUUCUUUCUACUGUGUUGUCUUCUCCACAACAAGAUGUCUUGCAGGUAUGGAUCUCUCCUAUUUCAAUCUGGGUAAAGAGUGUUGGUGUUCUGAUCUAGCUUGGUACCAAAUCCAACGCUUAUGAGUGAAGAAGGUCCUGUUUUGCUUUGCUUUUGUGCAAGUUGAACUGGUUGCUCCUGCGUAGUUGUGAAGGAUUUUGGAGAAGAACAUGAAGCCUAUAAUGUCCUUCAGCACGUUAAAGCUCAAUGAGUAAGAAGAAU